CCUACGGGAGGCAGCAGUGAGGAAUAUUGGUCAAUGGGCGCGAGCCUGAACCAGCCAAGUCGCGUGAGGGAAGACGGACCUAUGGACUGUAAACCUCUUUUGUCGGGGAGCAAAAGACGCCACGCGUGGCGUUCCGAGAGUACCCGAAGAAAAAGCAUCGGCUAACUCCGUGCCAGCAGCCGCGGUAAUACGGGGGAGGCGAGCGUUCUCCGGAUUUAUGGGGUUUAAAGGGUGCGCAGGCGGAAGAUCAAGUCAGCGGUAAAAGUGAGAGGUUCAACCUCUUCGAGCCGUUGAAACUGGGUAUCUAGAGUGAGUGAGAAGUAAGCGGAAUGCGUGGUGUAGCGGUGAAAUGCAUAGAUAUCACGAGGAACUCCGAUUGUGAAGGCAGCAUACCGGCGCUCAACUGACGCUCAUGCACGAAAGUGUGGGUAUCGAACAGGAUUAGAUACCCGUGUAGUC
rnacentral:rRNA from 1 species